rnacentral:rRNA from 1 species
GACUGACGCUCAGGCACGAAAGCGUGGGGAUCAAACAGGAUUAGAUACCCUGGUAGUCCACGCAGUAAACGAUGAAGACUUGUUGUCGGCGAUAGACAGUCGGUGACAAAGCGAAAAGCGAUAAAGUCUUCCACCUGGGGAGUACGAUCGCAAGGUUGAAACUCAAAGGAAUUGACGGGGGCCCGCACAAGCGGAGGAGCAUGUGGUUUAAUUCGAUGAUACGCGAGGAACCUUACCUGGACUCAAAUGUUGGAUGACCGUUCCAGAAAUGGGACUUCCCUUCGGGGCAUCCAGCAAGGUGCUGCAUGGUUGUCGUCAGCUCGUGCCGUGAGGUGUCAGGUUAAGUCCUAUAACGAGCGCAACCCCUACGUCCAGUUGCCAGCGGGUAAAGCCGGGGACUCUGGAGGGACUGCCGGCGCAAGCCGAGAGGAAGGUGGGGAUGACGUCAAAUCAGCACGGCCCUUACGUCCAGGGCGACACACGUGCUACAAUGGCCGGUACAGAGGGCAGCCCCCCCUCGAGGGGGAGCGAAUCUCGAAAGCCGGUCUCAGUAAGGGUCGGAGUCUGCAACUUCUCUCCGUGAAGCGGAUCGCUGUAAUC